rnacentral:lncRNA from 1 species
GAGUUGGUUCCUUCCUUCCCACCGAAUGGUCCCAGGUGAACUCAGGCCAUUAGGCUUGGCGAGAAACACCUUAAUGCACUGAACCAUUGCACUGGCUUUGCCUUACUGAUUGUUAGUAAGCUAUGGCUUGUAAUGCUAUGUGACUAGAACCACUACAUUUAGUCAGAUUCCACAGUCAAAAUGAACACCCCUUGCUUUGUAUUGUUGGGCCCAGAAAGAACCUAAUCUUGGGUUCUCCCACUGUAAAGAUGUUUUCUUCUGACUCUUCUGCACAUGCACACACCCACACACACCACACACAUCUAGUUUUUCCUGGGUGCUCUAUUCCAGACAUACUCCACCAUUCACUACUUCAUAGAGCUCCCAGUUUUUGUUCUCCUCCUCGUCUCCCCAUGUGCUUGUAACUCUCUCUCUCUCACCUGUAAAAGUCUGGGUUUUGUACCACUAUGCCAGGGAUGCAGUUGUGUUGUUUUAUGAAGACUGGCUCUCAUGUAACUAAGGUUGCCCUUGAUCUUGAUGACAAUCCUGCUUUGCCUCUCUGGUGUUAGGAUUAUAGCACUAAGCCUGGUCCCCAUUGGCCAAUUUAUUUACUUACUUAAUUUUAUUUGUUGUUUGUUUGCUUGUUUUGAGACAGGGUCUCACUCUAAACUAACUCUGGCUGUCCUGGAACUCUGUAAUCCAAGAUGACCUCAAACUCAUAAAAGAUCUCCCUGCCUCUGCCAACCAAGUUAUACAAGUGCGCAACCACUCCUGGUAUCAGCUGACUUGGUUUGUUUGUUUGUUUGUUUGUUUGGGACAGGAUCUCACAAUGUAUCUCUGGCUGUCCGGGAACUCAAUUUGUAGACCAAGCUGGCCUUGAAGUCAGAGAUCUGCCUGUCUCUGCCUCCCAAGUACUGGGAUUAAAGGUGUGGGCCACUACUGUCAGCUGAAUUUCUACUGGUGUUUCGAGAGAGGGUUUCUCUGUGUAGCCCUGGCUCUCCUGGAACUCACUCUGUAGACCAGGCUGGCCUCAAACUCAGAAAUCUGCCUGCUUCUGCCUCCCAAGUGCUGGGAUUAAAGGCAUGCACCACCACUGCCUGGCUUGCUCAGCCCCUUUUAUCCUUUUUGUUUAGUUUAGGACCCAGCACUGGAGUGGCACUGCCCACACCUAGGCUGUAUUCUCCCACCUCAGCUAGCCCAGUAAUAAAUUGCCUACAGAGACUUCAGAGACGGCUUAGGAGUCAAGAGGUCUUCCAGGGGACCUGAGCUUAGAUCCUAGUACCCAUGUUGGGCAGCUUACAACUGCCUGAGUCCAGAUCCAAAGGAUACUCUUUGGCCUCCAUUGGCUCCUACACACAGGUGACACAUACACAUAUUUUUUUUUAAAAAAAGAAAUUCUCAUAGACAUGCCAGAGGUUGGUCUCCUGAUUGACUCUAGAUCCUACCAAAUUCACAAUAUUAACAUGAAAGUCCCAAAGUAAUCACAGUUGCUAACCUAACUUACUGGACAUGAGCCCCAAGAAAAGAAAUGGUAUUUUGUUUUGUGGAUAUUUGAGACAGGGUUUCUCUGUAGCCCUGGCUGUCCUGGAACUCAUGGUAGACCAGGCUGGCCUUGAACACCCUGAGAUCCAUCUGUUUCUAUGCCUCUGCCUCACAAAUGCUGGAAUUAAAGGUAUAUACAACAACUGUCCAGCACAGAAAUGUAGGUUGACUUAGCAUGCAUGAUUUCAGUGAUUCUAGAGGUCUGCCUUCCUGCUUAGUCAGACCUGGGUUUGAUGUGUCAGAGGAGUUUGAGGUGACUGCUUCUCCUCCAACUGGGCUGCCUCUCCGAAUAGGCCACCUAAUCACUACUGAGUACAGGCCUUAGGACCUUCCUCCACCUCACAGUAUGGCUGUUGACUGGGACAGUCACAAGCAAGCCUUCUCAGGACAAGUGGCUGCUGAGAAAAGAACCUGCCAUCCGAUUGGACAUUUCCUACAUGUUCUUAAUAGAGGCUUACUCUUCCCCCUGUAAACUAAUAUGCCAAGGGCUGGAGAUAGUUCAGUAGCCAAAUACUUCCUUAGCAAACUCAACCAGAGAGGGUGGUUAUGUUGCUUCCUUGUCUUUUCUGUCUGACUUAUGUUUAUUAUGUUAUAAAGCUGUCAGAAGUAAAGCUCAAAGAGAUGCACACU